rnacentral:rRNA from 1 species
AUUGAACGCUGGCGGCAUGCUUUACACAUGCAAGUCGGACGGCAGCACAGAGAAGCUUGCUUCUUGGGUGGCGAGUGGCGAACGGGUGAGUAAUAUAUCGGAACGUACCGAGUAAUGGGGGAUAACUAAUCGAAAGAUUAGCUAAUACCGCAUAUUCUCUGAGGAGGAAAGCAGGGGACCUUCGGGCCUUGCGUUAUUCGAGCGGCCGAUAUCUGAUUAGCUAGUUGGUGGGGUAAAGGCCUACCAAGGCGACGAUCAGUAGCGGGUCUGAGAGGAUGAUCCGCCACACUGGGACUGAGACACGGCCCAGACUCCUACGGGAGGCAGCAGUGGGGAAUUUUGGACAAUGGGCGCAAGCCUGAUCCAGCCAGGCCGCGUGUCUGAAGAAGGCCUUCGGGUUGUAAAGGACUUUUGUCAGGGAAGAAAAGGCUGUUGCUAAUACCGACAGCUGAUGACGGUACCUGAAGAAUAAGCACCGGCUAACUACGUG